UGGGGAAUAUUGGACAAUGGGGGGAACCCUGAUCCAGCCAUGCCGCGUGUGUGAAGAAGGCCUUAUGGUUGUAAAGCACUUUAAGCGAGGAGGAGGCUCCUGUAGUUAAUACCUACAGAGAGUGGACGUUACUCACAGAAUAAGCACCGGCUAACUCUGUGCCAGCAGCCGCGGUAAUACAGAGGGUGCGAGCGUUAAUCGGAUUUACUGGGCGUAAAGCGUGCGUAGGCGGCUUUUUAAGUCGGAUGUGAAAUCCCCGAGCUUAACUUGGGAAUUGCAUUCGAUACUGGGAAGCUAGAGUAUGGUAGAGGGUAGUGGAAUUUCCUGUGUAGCGGUGAAAUGCGUAGAUAUAGGAAGGAACACCAGUGGCGAAGGCGACUACCUGGACUGAUACUGACACUGAGGUGCGAAAGCGUGGGGAGCAAACA
rnacentral:rRNA from 1 species